rnacentral:ncRNA from 1 species
CAAGCUGACACAGGAGAGGCCGAUCGCAUCGGCGCCGAAGGAGCAACCCCCCGGAACCUCUCAGGCAAAAGGACUGUGAUCGGCAA